UGCAUCGGCUGGGAAUCGAACCCGGGCCGCCCGUGUGGCAGGCGAGCAUUCUACCACUGAACCACCGAUGG
rnacentral:tRNA from 1 species